rnacentral:rRNA from 1 species
CCUACGGGAGGCUGCAGUGAGGAAUAUUGGUCAAUGGUCGGGAGACUGAACCAGCCAAGCCGCGUGAGGGAUGAAGGUACAGAGUAUCGUAAACCUCUUUUGUCAGGGAACAAAGGCGGGGACGCGUCCCCGGAUGAGUGUACCUGAAGAAAAAGCAUCGGCUAACUCCGUGCCAGCAGCCGCGGUAAUACGGAGGAUGCGAGCGUUAUCCGGAUUUAGUGGGUUUACAGGGUGCUCAGGCCGUCUGUUAAGUCAGCGGUCAAAGCCCGGGGCUCAACCCCGGCCCGCCGUUGAAACUGGCAGUCUCGAGUUGGAGAGAAGUAUGCGGAAUGCGCGGUGUAGCGGUGAAAUGCAUAGAUAUCGCGCAGAACUCCGAUUGCGAAGGCAGCAUGCCGGCUCCACACUGACGCGGAGGCACGAAAGCGUGGGUAUCGAACAGGAUUAGAUACCCGGGUAGUC